AGACUUGGACCGUGAAGUUUUGAGGAUGUGAUGGCGUCCUCGGAUCAAAUGCACACAGACACCAGGACUGACGAGGAAGAAAGGAGCAGCGUCUUCUCUUCCAGUGUUUCCUCCACACAUGAAGGUAGAAAGUGUCUGUAAGUCAACCUGAAGUGAGUUCAGCAGGUGUGGGCUCUGCUAUGGAUCAGUGUGAGGACAGAGAGGAGGGAGUCCCUCCCUCUAAAAGCACUCUGUGUGGGGAACAUGACACAAGGACCAAAGCUCAGAGGAUCCAUCAGAGACCAGACUGUCCUGAACCUGAACCCAGCUGUGUGUCCAUGAAGAGUGAUCGCUCUAUGGGUGAACGUAUAUAC